GGGGGUAGGUUGCACAAUGGGCGCAAGCCUGAUGCAGCCAUGGCGCGUGUGUGAAGAAGGCGGUCGGGUUGGAAAGCACGUUCAGGGGGGAGGAGGGCGGUGAGGUUAAUAACCUCAUCGAUUGACGUUACCCGCAGAAGAAGCACCGGCUAACUCCGUGCCAGCAGCCGCGGUAAUACGGAGGGUGCAAGCGUUAAUCGGAAUUACUGGGCGUACAGCGCACGCAGGCGGUCUGUCAAGUCGGAUGUGAAUUCCCCGGGCUCAACCUGGGAGCUGCAUUCGAAACUGGCAGGCUGGCGUCAUGUUGAAGGGGGUAGAUUUCCCGCUGUAGCGGUGAAUUGCGUACGGAUCUGGUGGAAUACCGGUCGCGAAGGCGGCCCCCUGGACAGAGACUGACGCUCGCGUGCGAAAGCGUGCGGGGCAAACAGG
rnacentral:rRNA from 1 species